CACGUAGGGGACGAGCGUUGUCCGGAUUCAUUGGGCGUAAAGCGCGCGUAGGCGGCUCGGAAAGUCGGUCGUGAAAUGCCGGGGCUCAACCCCGGGACUGCGUCCGAUACUUCCGGGCUGGAGGUAGGUAGGGGAGAUCGGAAUUCCUGGUGUAGCGGUGAAAUGCGCAGAUAUCAGGAGGAGCACCGGUGGCGAAGGCGGAUCUCUGGGCCUUACCUGACGCUGAGGCGCGAAAGCUAGGGGAGCGAACAGG
rnacentral:rRNA from 1 species